AGGAUGAACGCUAGCGGCAGGCUUAACACAUGCAAGUCGAGGGGCAGCGGGAUGUAGCAAUACAUUGCCGGCGACCGGCGGAUGGGUGCGUAACGCGUAUGCAACCUACCUCAUACAGGGGAAUAACCUUUCGAAAGGGAGACUAACACCCCAUGGUAUUGAUUUAAGGCAUCUUAGAUUAAUUAAAUAUUUAUAGGUAUGAGAUGGGCAUGCGUAUGAUUAGCUAGUUGGUAAGGUAACGGCUUACCAAGGCGACGAUCAUUAGGGGUUCUGAGAGGAAGGUCCCCCACACUGGUACUGAGACACGGACCAGACUCCUACGGGAGGCAGCAGUGAGGAAUAUUGGUCAAUGGGCGCAAGCCUGAACCAGCCAUGCCGCGUGCAAGGAAGACGGCCUUAUGGGUUGUAAACUGCUUUUACAUAAGACUAACCGUAUAUUUGCGAAUAUACCUGAAUGUAUUAUGAGAAUAAGGAUCGGCUAACUCCGUGCCAGCCGCCGC
rnacentral:rRNA from 1 species